rnacentral:rRNA from 1 species
AUUGAACGCUGGCGGCAGGCCUAACACAUGCAAGUCGAGCGGAUGAGAGGAGCUUGCUUCUCGAUUCAGCGGCGGACGGGUGAGUAAUGCCUAGGAAUCUGCCUGGUAGUGGGGGACAACGUUUCGAAGGGAACGCUAAUACCGCAUACGUCCUACGGGAGAAAGCAGGGGACCUUCGGGCCUUGCGCUAUCAGAUGAGCCUAGGUCGGAUUAGCUAGUUGGUGAGGUAAUGGCUCACCAAGGCGACGAUCCGUAACUGGUCUGAGAGGAUGAUCAGUCACACUGGAACUAAGACACGGUCCAGACUCCUACGGGAGGCAGCAGUGGGGAAUAUUGGACAAUGGGCGAAAGCCUGGUCCAGCCAUGCCGCGUGUGUGAAGAAGGUCUUCGGAUUGUAAAGCACUUUAAGUUGGGAGGAAGGGUUGUAGAUUAAUACUCUGCAAUUUUGACGUUACCGACAGAAUAAGCACCGGCUAACUCUGUGCCAGCCGCCGCAGUAAUAC